UGUGUAAAAUUUCAGAGAGA
rnacentral:siRNA from 1 species